rnacentral:rRNA from 1 species
GAUGAACGCUAGCGACAGGCUUAACACAUGCAAGUCGAGGGGCAGCAUAGAAGUAGCAAUACUUUGGUGGCGACCGGCGCGACGGGUGAGUAACGCGUAUGCAACCUACCUAUCAGAGGGGAAUAACCCGGCGAAAGUCGGACUAAUACCGCAUAAAACAGGGGCACCGCAUGGUGAUAUUUGUUAAAGAAAUUCGCUGAUAGAUGGGCAUGCGUUCCAUUAGGUAGUUGGUGAGGUAACGGCUCACCAAGCCGACGAUGGAUAGGGGAACUGAGAGGUUGGUCCCCCACACUGGUACUGAGACACGGACCAGACUCCUACGGGAGGCAGCAGUGAGGAAUAUUGGUCAAUGGGCGAGAGCCUGAACCAGCCAAGUCGCGUGAAGGAAGAAGGAUCUAUGGUUCGUAAACUUCUUUUGCAGGGGAAUAAAGUGCAGGACGUGUCCUGUUUUGUAUGUACCCUGAGAAUAAGGAUCGGCUAACUCCGUG